AGAGUCUAUCCUCAAAGGUGAGAUGCCAUGAUUUGCUGAUUGCCUGGAUGUGGCACGUGAGCAGGAGUGGAGACAAAGAUAUUUCUGAGUCAUUUGGUCUCAGGAACUGUUGUAUGAAUGGCAAGGAGAAGACGCUGGGGGCCCCAUCAGAAGCUCAGGGUUGGAACUCUUUGAGACACUUGUUGGUCGUCCAUGUUGGGGUGGGGGCCACUCCAAGUGGAGUCUGGUGCUCUGGAGAGGAAGCACUCACAUAUAAAUCUGGCGUCCACUAUAUAGAUGCUAUAUAAGACCACAAGACAGAAUGAGAUUACCAACGGAGCAUGGACCGAAGGCAGAGGAGAGGGAGAGGUCGGGCCUGAGCUUUGGGGCUGCAGCAUGAGGAGACCAGGGAGAUGAGGAAGGCCAGGGGAAAACAGGCUGGGAAUAAAAGGCCCAGAGAAAAGGUAAACGAGGAGAACGGGGUCACAGGAUGGUAGACGCCAUGUUUCAAGGAGGAAGAAGAGGUUAUCCGUGGCAGCUAAGGCAAAGUCUGAAAACGACAACUGGUCAUAGCAAAGUGAAGGCAACUGGAGAGCCCCAUUUUCUUCAGAAUAAAUCCUUCUGUAGGUUUGGAGCGCAGCCCCCACCUUAGCCACCCCGGUGGUUUUGUGGGUUCAGGUCUGGCUGAUCACUGAUUGCCUCAGAGAUGAGCACGCGACCGGGACGGGGCCAAUGGGAAUUCUCUCCAGACAUUUUCUCCUGGAGCUGUUGGGAUAGACUGGCCACCUCUCUUGAGUUGCUAAGUGUUGGGAUGUAAGUCAUGUUCUCUCACAGACAUUCCGCUUCUCGUGCACAUUCACUCUUUCCAAGACAGGGAGAGAGAAAAGAGAGAGAGAUCCCCAGCAAUAGCAUUUGAACCAUCUCUGGAUGCAGCCCUAAGAACCGCCACUGAUCUGGACUCCGUUUUAGCUCUGAGCCAAUAAACUAUUUUAGGCUGGUUCGAAUCAGCCUUCUGUCUCUUGCAUCCAAGGUUGCUUCGCCUAUGUCCCUGAAGCCUGCUACUCCACAGUGGCAGCGAGUAUGAAGGACAUGUCGGUGACUCACUGGUCACGCAAAGACCACUGACUUAGGGCUUUGAACCAAGGGUCAGAGACCCUGGCAGUCCUGGCUUCACAGCCCUCUCAGGGCAACCGUACUAAGCGACCUUUGCCUUCAGGACUAUUCUUGGCUUGCUGAAAUUGCGCGGAGGAGUUCAGCCCCGAAGGGACCGAACAGGGUCACCUCCCUGCCUCCUCCCGUACAGCCUCUGACGCAGGCCCGAAAUCUGGGGCAGGAUUUCUUCUGUUCUUGGAGAAGACACACCUUUCACAUCCACAGUUUCAUCCCCUGACUGCGGCUAGGACUUCCUUCCAACCACAGACUUCACCUCUGUCAUGGAAUAAGAAGGAUACCAAUUGAAUAAUCCUCGUUAAAUGUCGUGCUACACUGUGGAAAUCUGUAGUAUUUGACAGAAACCCAAACGCUACUGACUUGUCGCUAGGAUAAUUACAGGUAGUGUUUACCAGACUAAACGCAUUUGUAGGAAGGGUGAAUGUAAUGUGUUUAAAGGAAAAACUGUCUUAAACGCUGUCAAGUACUUUAAAAUGUCACAUUGCACCCAAACAAUGGAUUCCGGGUACACCUAAGUCUUCUAUAGUCACAAAAGCAAGUUUUCUAGGAUUUCUGAUUGUUUUGCUUACUUUUUAUUUACUGCAAUAAAACGACAGAAAAGCCUUUAUAGUUCA